UGGUGGGUUGAAGCCAUAUGAUUUUACCUUUAAACCUCAAUAAAUAAGUGUUGUCUCAUCCAUAAUGAGUGACAUUUAGAUCAUAUUAUAACUAGGGUCGACCUAACAAGACAUGAGACACAUCCAUAGAAAGGAUGUCACACUAGAUUUUAUCCAAGUAAUCAUUUAUUUGUAGGAGAACUAAACAUCAUUUAGAAACUAGAGAAGAAGUUUGGUCAACCCAUGCCGCUCUGAAUGGCUGGAGGUGUGGUUCAAGCUGCAGCUUCAGCUUUUCAAGAGCUAAC
rnacentral:lncRNA from 1 species